UACGGGGGGGGCAAGCGUUGUUCGGAAUUACUGGGCGUAAAGGGCGCGUAGGCGGCUUUGCAAGUGACGGGUGAAAUCCCUCGGCUUAACCGAGGAACUGCCUGUCAGACUGCAUGGCUUGAGACCAGGAGAGGUGAGUGGAAUUCCCAGUGUAGCGGUGAAAUGCGUAGAUAUUGGGAGGAACACCAGUGGCGAAGGCGGCUCACUGGACUGGUACUGACGCUGAGGCGCGAAAGCGUGGGGAGCAAACAGG
rnacentral:rRNA from 1 species